UCUCUUUCUCUCUGCAAAUUUUUCCUAUUGAGAGGUGAGAAAGAAAGAGAGAAAUAAAGUCUUUUUUCUUCGCAUUUCAAGGUUGAAGAUUGAGUUUAUAUUGAUCAAGAUGGCUAGAUUUCCUUUGGUUUUGAUGGUCAUUCUUGCUCUCGUCUUCAGCAUUGUGUUUCCCGCUGUACAGGCUGAGGGUCCUGCUAUGGCCCCCAACAGUGACGGGAAGUCAAUUGAUCAAGGAAUUGCCUACAUGUUGAUGCUGUUGGCUUUAGUCGUGACCUACCUUAUUCAUUAAACAAAUAAAGAAUAAUGUUUAAUUAGAUAUAUGGUGUUGUUUAGUGGAGUUAUUGUUGGAAAUUGAGGUUGAAUCUGGAAUUGAACAGUGAA